UUAAGUUCAGCGGGUAGUCCUACCUGAUUUGAGGUCAGAUUCAAAGUGAAUUGUCCUUGCGGACGAUUAGAAGCGGGAUCCGAUGUAGUAGGCAGCGCAGAUAAUUAUCACACUAACCGUUCCACCGAGCUAAGCCCAGCUAAUACAUUUAAGAGGAGCUGACCAUCGCCAGCAAUGCCUCCAAGUCCAAGCCGCACAGA
rnacentral:misc_RNA from 1 species